AUAUAGCGGUAGCACCACCGUCCGAAACUGCUAUUGCUGAAAAUAACGGAGUGAAGCGGAGUCACACCGAUAACGGUGGAUAGUGGCCGCAACUUAACGGAUAACGGUCAAUUGCGGCAAUAACGGGCCGCUAUUCCCGUUAUUUUCCGUUACCGUAAAUUAAAAAAAAAUCAAGAGAUGUAGAUACUGAAUAGUGAUGUACUUUACAAUAAAACAAAAGGGAAUAUAUUCCCCUACCUGCAAAACUAGAGGGCUCUCAAUCAAAAAAAACUAAAAACAUAUAUACACUAUACAGAACUCCAAAUAAACAAAAAAAAAAAAAAACUCCAAACAAAGUUCAAAACUCACAACACAACUCACAAGCAAACGAAAAUACGAAAUUCUCUUUCUCCAUAUUUCGGCAAACAACAGAGUCACAGACAGCAGCAAUAGAAAUUCUAUUCCUAAUUUCAACAUGCCACCACGUGAAGAGUUCCCGACUGAAGGAUUGGAGGGUGCACCAAGUAAUGAUAUAGGUUGGCACUUUGGAACUCCAAUGCCAAAUGCGAGAGGAAAUAUCGUAUGUAAACUUUGUGGUAAAGUUGUGAAAGGAGGAAUAACACGAGUUAAAGAGCACAUUGCUCAUAAAACCGACAAUGUUACACCAUGCCCUAAUGUUACUGGUGUCAUUAGAGAAAGUAUGAUGAAUGUACUAAAAGAAAGCAACACAAAGAAAAUAGACAAAAAAAAGGAGAAAAGAUGAAUUCUUAUCUCAAUUAAUAGAAGAGGAGGAUGAACACGAGGGAUUCAUUGAUGAGGUUUAUGCUAUAAGGUAAGCAACUCGAGAAAGUAUCCAAUCACAACACGAGUGGCAUAGAAGGGAAGAAUUCAGACGAAGUACAGGUGGUUGGGAUAACAUUUGUGAAGGGAGAUCUUUUCAUGGAUUAGCUAAAGAACAUAAUAGAGAAAGAACAAGUAAAUCCAUCCCAAGUGAGUCUGAGUUUACAUUAAGGAGAGCUAUACCUGAAUUGGUUAGAAGCAAAAGUUCAAAACAAUCAAAGGUCAAUGACUCUUUUUUAAAGACUUUUCGAAGGAAGAUAGGUGAAGCGGUAUCUAAAUUUUAAUAUAUGAAAGACUUCCUUUUCAAUUAGCAAUCUCUCCAUGGUUGUAUAACUUAAUUCAAGUGUCACCAGAAGUUGGAUAAGGUGUAAAGCUUCCAACAUCUUAUGAGGUUUCAGAUGUGUAUUUGGAUUCAGAGUAUCAACGAGUUCGUGAUUGGGUAAAUGGACUAAAGACUCAUUGGAAAGAAUUGGGUGUAACUUUAUGUGUGAUGGUUGGACCAACAGUUUGAAUCAAAUGCACAUCAUUAAUUUCCUUGUUUAUUGCAAUAAAGGAACCAUUUUUUGGAAAUCGGUAGAUGCCUUAAGUGUCCGUAGUAGAGAUGCUGAAUUCUACUACUGUUUGUUAGAUUCAGUUGUAGAAGAAAUUGGAGAAAAUUACAUUGUCCAAAUAGUGACUGAUAAUGAGGCAGCUGUAAUACCCCCUACCCGUAUUCGUCGCCGAAAUAGAGUAUGAGGC